rnacentral:rRNA from 1 species
AGGAUGAACGCUGGCGGCGUGCCUAAAACAUGCAAGUCAUACGGGCUACCUUCGGGUAGCCAGUGGCAAACGGGUGAGUAACACGUGGGAACGCGCCUCGGGGUGGGAAUAACGCUGAGAAAUCAGUGCUAAUACCGCAUAUGGUCUAACGACUAAAGCAGCAAUGCGCCCGGAGAGCGGCCCGCGACCGAUUAGCUAGUUGGUGGGGUAAUGGCCUACCAAGGCGGUGAUCGGUAGCUGGUCUGAGAGGACGACCAGCCACACUGGGACUGAGACACGGCCCAGACUCCUACGGGAGGCAGCAGUGAGGAAUUUUCCGCAAAUGGGCGAAAGCCUGACGGAGCGACGCCGCGUGCACGAGGAAGGUCUUCGGAUCGUAAAGUGCUGUCGAGGGGACGAUUAUGACGGUACCCUCGGAGGAAGCCCGGCUAACUACGUGCCAGCAGCCGC